rnacentral:rRNA from 1 species
CACGUAGGGAGCGAGCGUUGUCCGGAUUUAUUGGGCGUAAAGAGCUCGUAGGCGGCUCGGUAAGUCGGGUGUGAAAACUCGGGGCUCAACCCCGAGACGCCACUCGAUACUGCUGUGGCUUGAGUCCGGUAGGGGAGCGUGGAAUUCCUGGUGUAGCGGUGAAAUGCGCAGAUAUCAGGAGGAACACCGGUGGCGAAGGCGGCGCUCUGGGCCGGUACUGACGCUGAGGAGCGAAAGCGUGGGGAGCAAACAGG